AACCGUGCCCAAGAGAUCGGGAUAACACCUGGAAACAGAUGCUAAUACCGGAUAACAACAGAUGAUGCCUAUCAACUGUUUAAAAGAUGGUUCUGCUAUCACUCUUGGAUGGACCUGCGGUGCAUUAGCUAGUUGGUAGGGUAACGGCCUACCAAGGCGAUGAUGCAUAGCCGAGUUGAGAGACUGAUCGGCCACAUUGGGACUGAGACACGGCCCAAACUCCUACGGGAGGCAGCAGGU
rnacentral:rRNA from 1 species